rnacentral:rRNA from 1 species
UACGUAGGUGGCAAGCGUUGCCCGGAAUUAUUGGGCGUAAAGCGCGCGCAGGCGGUCCUUUAAGUCUGAUGUGAAAGCCCACGGCUCAACCGUGGAGGGUCAUUGGAAACUGGGGGACUUGAGUACAGAAGAGAAGAGUGGAAUUCCACGUGUAGCGGUGAAAUGCGUAGAGAUGUGGAGGAACACCAGUGGCGAAGGCGACUCUUUGGUCUGUAACUGACGCUGAGGCGCGAAAGCGUGGGGAGCAAACAGG